CCCGGGUGUCGGGUUAUUGGCAGCACCGGUAAGUAAUCCCACCAGGAGAUCACUUACCGUUGCCCCCAGGGCGCACCAGCCAUAAGCCAUUCCCUUGACUGAUCAACAGAAAUUGGAAUGGCCCAGACCCUCGUGGAGGUUACCCGACCUAGCGCCUCGUGCCGAAACACCAACAAAAAGAUAGCAAAUAUAAGACGAGAGUUUACUGCAAUGUUAAUAAAUUACAAGGAAUACAAAUGUUGAUCUUAUUAAUAAUUACGGCUAGGUUGAGUGGGAAAUUGCGAUGCGUGUGCAAGAUGACGCUCUACUUUUUGGACAAAGUACAGAUGCAUCGUUUGCACGCGGAGAUGUUGUUUUGGGUCAGAUCAAAGUGCACAUGCAUAGCUGCAGAAAAUGUACAUCUU